rnacentral:misc_RNA from 1 species
AUCGCGAUUUUCAUUUAAUCGCUCGCGUCAUCAACAUUAUUUGAAGUUUUAUAAAGGUACAAGUGGAAAAUAAACAAGAUAAUAUCCGAAGUUCCAUUCUAUACAAGAGCGGCCAAGACGAAGGGAAACACACAUGAAAACGGUUUAUUGCGAAAUGGAAUUCAGAAUGGAACAGAUGCGUUCUCGAGUAAGAGCAUCGAAAGGUUAAAAAGAAUGAAAUGCACCGAUGUACAAUAUCUUCUAUUACCCAGUUGCCUGAGACGAG